rnacentral:rRNA from 1 species
ACGAACGCUGGCGGCAUGCCUAACACAUGCAAGUCGAACGAGACCUUCGGGUCUAGUGGCGCACGGGUGCGUAACGCGUGGGAACCUGCCCUUAGGUUCGGAAUAACUCCCCGAAAGGGGUGCUAAUACCGGAUAAUGUCUUCGGACCAAAGAUUUAUCGCCUUUGGAUGGGCCCGCGUUGGAUUAGCUAGUUGGUAGGGUAAAAGCCUACCAAGGCGACGAUCCAUAGCUGGUCUGAGAGGAUGAUCAGCCACACUGGGACUGAGACACGGCCCAGACUCCUACGGGAAGCAGCAGUGGGGAAUAUUGGACAAUGGGCGAAAGCCUGAUCCAGCAAUGCCGCGUGAGUGAUGAAGGCCUUAGGGUUGUAAAGCUCUUUUACCCGGGAUGGUAAUGACAGUACCGGGAGAAUAAGCUCCGGCUAACUCCGUG